CCUACGGGUGGCAGCAGUGAGGAAUAUUGGUCAAUGGGCGCGAGCCUGAACCAGCCAAGUAGCGUGAAGGAUGACUGCCCUACGGGCUGUAAACUCCUUUUCUAAAGGAAUAAAGUGAGGCACGUGUGCCUUUUUGUAUGUACUUUAUGAAUAAGGAUCGGCUAACUCCGUGCCAGCAGCCGCGGUACUACGGAGGAUCCGAGCGUUAUCCGGAUUGAUUGGGUUUAAAGGGAGCGUAGAUGGGUUGUUAAGUCAGUUGUGAAAGUUUGCGGCUCAACCGUAAAAUUGCAAUUGAUACUGGCAGUCUUGAGUACAGUUGAGGUAGGCGGAAUUCGUGGUGUAGCGGUAAAAUGCUUAGAUAUCACGAAGAACUCCGAUUGCGAAGGCAGCUUACUAAACUGCGACUGACAUUGAUGCUCGAAAGUGUGGGUAUCAAACAGGAUUAGAUACCCCUGUAGUC
rnacentral:rRNA from 1 species